rnacentral:rRNA from 1 species
GACGAACGCUGGCGGCGUGCCUAAUACAUGCAAGUAGAACGCAGUUGCGAACGGGUGAGUAACGCGUAGGUAACUUCCUGGUAGCGGGGGAUAACUAUUGGAAACGAUAGCUAAUACCGCAUACUACCAGAGGGACAUGCGUUGUAUUAGCUAGUUGGUGGGGUAACGGCUCACCAAGGCAACGAUACAUAGCCGGCCUGAGAGGGGGAUCGGGCACACUGGGACUGGGGAACGGCCCCGACUCCUACGGGAAGCAGCAGUAGGGGAUCUUUGGCAAUGGACCGAAGUCUGACCGAGCAACGCCGCGGGAGUGAAGAAGGUUUUCGGAUCGUAAAGCUCUGUUGUAAGAGAAGCGGUAUCUUACCAGAAAGGGACGGCUAACUACGUGCCAGCAGCCGCGGUAAUAC